rnacentral:rRNA from 1 species
GAAAACAUUGAGCGUAUGAAUGCUAAAUAUAAACUUGUUGGAGAUAAGGGUAGAAAACAUGUUGUGUUUGCACCUGGAGAUCUUGUUUGGUUACAUUUGCGUAAGGAUAGAUUUCCUGAUUUGCGCAAAUCAAAGCUAAUGCCACGUGCUGAUGGUCCCUUUAAGGUGUUAGAGAAAACAAAUGAUAAUGCAUAUAAACUUGAGCUGCCUGCAGAUUUUGGGGUUAGUCCCACUUUUAACAUUGCAGAUUUGAAGCCUUAUUUGGGUGAGGAAGAUGAGUUUCCGUCGAGGACGACUUAA